rnacentral:tRNA from 1 species
AUAUGCUUGGUGUAUGAUGCACACAAAUUUUUGAUAUUUGAAGGGUUAGUUUAAAUCUAAUAGCUUAUA